AAAGUAAAAUCAGAUUGCCUUUCUACUUUAAAACAAUUAUGGAAUUUUUAUACUCCAGUUUUCACAGAUCACAGGUGUAUCUGUAAGUAUCUCCAAACGAUAAACGAGUGUGAAAGAAGAGCAUUUAAGCUCUCUGAAAAGUUAAACUUCACAUUUUGUCCACUUAAGGCCUUCCCUGUCUCAAACAGACAAGAAUGGGGUGUAGAAGGUUUGGCAACAUCUGCAUGGACAUUUUUGGGCUGGUUGAUGAGGGGUUAAUUGGGGCUAAUUUUAAAUGCACAGGCUAGAAAUCUUUUCCCUGGAGAACCUGACUGCAUCUUAGCCUCCGAUUGCUAAGAGAUGAUGGCUCCCAACUCAUUGUCAGUUGCUCUGGGGAUCUCAGAGAAAUAAUAUGUACAUGGACCCAAUAGAAAACAUAAAAAUAAUAAAUGAAACUAAUAAUGCAAAAUUGUUUGGGAAAUAAGUAGUCCCUUCUGACACGAGCAGUGCUGGAAGCUUUGGGAAAAGAAGGCUGGAAUGUAAAUUGUAGAAAUUGGAGUUGUAAAUUUUCCUCUGGAGAAACAGGGAGCCAACAGUCCUGUUUAGAGGAAACUGAGCUCACAGGAGCUGGUUUUCCGUCCGGGUUCAAUCCAAAAAGGACAGCCUCCCACUCCUACUUCCCCAAAUAGGCUGGGCUCAGGAUCAGGGAGGUGGGGGCAGGGAGACAGGGUCAGUAGGACUUGCAAUCUGAUGUCCUCGUUAAAUUGAAUGUACUGUUUCCAUGGGACUGCAGGGGCUGACAGCAAUGCAGGGUGAGCAACUCCUUGUUAAACCUUUCCUUUCUCGGCCACUGCCCCUCUCCCCUGAGAUGGCUAACCAAGGAAAUAAUGCCACAGUGGUCAAGUGGGAAAUCUUGACAAGGAUGAACAGAAAAACCUAAUGAGGCAAACCUGCUCAAAUUUCAUCAAAUUGUAUUUCCAAGUGAGUGCAGGGUCACAGGAUAGAAACAUGAAGAUGCUCGGUGUGUUUGGCUCUAAAAAAAAAAAAAAGAAGAAGGAAGGGAGGUUGGAAAGAAGGAGGUCUUAUAGAGAGGAGACUGCCUUGCUAUUUAUUUAUCUCUGUUGAUAUUUUCCUGAUCUUAGUCUAGGUGCUGACUUAAUUUCAUUUGGUUGAUCAUUUUCAACUCAAAGUUCAUUGGGAAUACUCAGACAUUCUCCAGGCUGCAGCAAUCCAGAGAAGCCAAAUCCCACCAAAUUUCAUCCUGUCUUUGGGGCAACUUUGCCGUGCCACCACCCACUGAACCCAGUCUGGACUCGUCUGGCUCCCACUCCACCUGCACCCAUUCUGCUAUCAGCAGAUGGAAAAAUGGAGGCCUCAGGGCUGUGAGGUCAAUAGCAGAGGUCUCUCUGCACAGUUCUCAGAAAAUCAUUAAACUUCAGGAGUUGCCUGGGCUUUGACAUUCUGGGUAAAAGCGCUGUACUGUGAGCCCUUCAAGGAUAAGCCAGAUCUCAGAGUGGCCUGGCAAAGGGCCACACAAAGGAGAUGGCCCAGCCCACUGCAGGAUGCUCCGUGACCCCUCGCCCCUGUCCUUGCCUCAAAGCAGCACCUGGGAGGUCACCGUGGUGACCCAAGAAGAGGAGCAGAAAUCACAGACCUCGCUUCCUUACAGAGAAAACCAAGCAGGCUCCGACUGUUUCCUACACUAAGGAUGUUGGGAAAUGCAUAACAAUUGUGUAAUUCCUAAUAAGGAGGGGUAACCCUUCAGGGGUAAUUACAGCAGCCAAUGUCUCAGCCACAUUUGUGUGACUUGAUUAAAUGUAACAUUGUAAAGGGAGCCGGCACGGUGAAUUUCCAUCCUGACAUCCAAUAAUACUCCCUAACCCUUUGGACAUUGUCCUCCCCGAAGGUCAAAAAUAUGAAUAAAUUAUGGUUCUGACAACCUU